ensembl:lncRNA
CAAACAUUUUUUUUGUGUUAUUUGGACAGGACCAUUAAGGGCAUAUAAAGUUGGAUCGUUUAUUAGAUUUUUCCGGGAUGCAACAUUUAGCUGCCGGUUGGAUGUGGUGGGAAGAUAAGGGCUGACAGCAUCGGGGCGAGUGACCGUUGAGCCCACAUCUUCACAGAGAUCUGCCUCCAUUGUUCAUCCCAGAUUAAGCUGCACUCGACGGGCGGACCGCAGGAACAGAGCGCACGCCUCCGGUACUUCACAGCACAAGACUCACAAAACAGCACGAGAAGAACCGUAUGAUGAUUGGCGGGACCCUCUGGCUGUCGCGCUCACUGGCCAACUGGUUUGGGGUUUUCCUCGACUGCAGCUGAACAUGAGAGAGGGACAUGAGGGAAACUGAGCGGGGAGGCGACAGGGACUCGGCGUGCUGCCCGCAAUUCGCGCCGGUGUUGCCUUUGGGAUCCUGGACCCAUCCAUGCACUUGCCACGUCCUUGAGCUUUCUUCUCCUCCUGCAAGACUGACCAAGUCAACACACACACAUCUACCAUCAGCUGACUACGGGUAUCAAAACUCAAAACCUGUGGGAAAAAAACGCUACAUGACAGCAGAGCCAUUAAUGAGACAGUCCAG